rnacentral:rRNA from 1 species
AUGUCCCGGUGGGCGCCGGAGAUCAAGGUCUAUAGCCGCAGGAACCCCCGCAAAAACCCUAAACCCCCUCCUGAAGGCCCUACCCCCGACCCCAAUCCCCCUCCAGAACCUAGCCCCGACCCCAAUCCCCAUCCAGAACCUUGCNNNNNNNNNNNNNNNNNNNNNNNNNNNNNNNNNNUAGCCUCGUUCCGUCGCUCGAUUCGUCGCUCGGAGGCUGAGGAUGCGGUGCCGCCGCUCUCCGAUCCGGCCGCACCGACUUCCCCUCCUCCUCUUUCUCCCACAUCGUCGCCGCACGGGGCACCGGCUGCCGCCUCCGGCGAUUUCUCCUCCGGCCUUGCCCGGGAUGGCGCCGCCGUUCCAAACGGUCAUGCCGACAUCGACAUCCGGGCGGCCGCGGAUGACAAGGCUCGGAAGCGCAGGGUCCGGAGCGAGCUGCGUCGGCAGCUUGCGUCAGAGCUCGACCAGGUACGCGUGCUCUCCAAGCGCCUCAAGGCGGCUGGCGAGGCCUUGGCAGUUGAGGCAUCCCAGCCCGUACCUCGGCCACCGCCUCUGCUCACUGCUGGGUAUGUGCAACCCCAGUUCUCAGGCAGUGAUGCUGUGACGCCCGUACCGGCCCCAGUUACUGCUUCUGUUCCUCCUGUCCGCUCGUUUCUGCCACGCCGCCCGCUAAUUGUGCCAGAAGUUCACACAGAAUCACUUGACAAGGAAAAGCGAACACCAAAGGCCAAUCAGCUUUACCAAAAUUCAGAGUUCUUGCUUGCCAAAGAUAGGAUACCGCCAUCAGAUUCACAUGGCCGGAAGAAAACCAAGCACCACAAGAAGAAACACCGUUCCUCGUCAGCUCAUGGUGCAGGUUACAACGCUGAGCAGCGACUCUACUCGCAUGCAUUUAAGAAGUCUUCAUCACUGCUGUCCCGACUAAUGAAGCACAAAUUUGGGUGGGUGUUUAACAAGCCUGUUGAUCCUGUUGCACUUGGGUUGCAUGACUAUUUUGCCAUUAUUAAGCACCCGAUGGAUCUUGGCACUAUAAAGGGGCAGCUUACUCGUGGGCAUUACAGGGACCCAAAGGAGUUUGCUAAUGAUGUACGGCUAACAUUCCAUAAUGCCAUGACGUAUAAUCCCAAAGGGCAGGAUGUGCAUUUCAUGGCUGAGCAAUUGUUAGGAAUUUUUGAAGCUCAGUGGCCUGAGAUUGAGGCUGAGGUUGACUACCUUGCAUCAUGCCCACCUUUGCCGAAGAAGUUUCCACCUCCCCCGAUAGACUUGCGCUUACUAGAGAGGUCAGAUUCCUUAAAGCACCAUAUGGCGCUGGACUCCAAGUCAAGGCCGAUAAAUCAUACUCCCAUUAGUGUCCGCACUCCAUCAUUGAAGAAGCCAAAGGCAAAGGAUCUGGAUAAAAGAGAUAUGACGAUAGAUGAGAAGCGUAAACUUAGCAAUAACCUUCAGAACUUGCCUCCUGAAAAGCUUGAUAUUGUUGUGCAGAUCAUUAAGAACAAGAAUCUUUCAGUUAGGCAGCAUGAAGAUGAGAUUGAGGUUGAGAUAGAUAGCAUGGAUGCGGAGACACUUUGGGAACUUGAUAGAUUUGUUGCUAACUUCAAGAAGAACCUGAGCAAGCAAAAGAGGAAGGCUGAGCGUGCAAUGCUUGCAAGGCAAGAUGUAGAGUUGCGUGCUCUGCAUGCUGCACAACAAACAAGUCAACAACCUAACAUUGGUGAAAAAUCUCCAAAGCUAAAUUUGAUGGUGGGCGAGCAAUUAGCAACUUCUGUGCCAGACCAAAAUAAUAAUAAUAUACCGAGUGCCAGUAGAUCUAGCAGCUCAAGCAGCUCCAGCAGUGAUUCAGAUUCCUCUUCUAGUGACUCGGACAGUGACAGCUCUUCUACAGAUGGAUCAAAUGCUGCCAAUUCAUCUUGA